rnacentral:rRNA from 1 species
UGGGGAAUUUUGGACAAUGGGCGAAAGCCUGAUCCAGCAAUGCCGCGUGUGUGAAGAAGGCCUUCGGGUUGUAAAGCACUUUUGUCCGGAAAGAAAUCCUUGGCUCUAAUACAGUCGGGGGAUGACGGUACCGGAAGAAUAAGCACCGGCUAACUACGUGCCAGCAGCCGCGGUAAUACGUAGGGUGCAAGCGUUAAUCGGAAUUACUGGGCGUAAAGCGUGCGCAGGCGGUUUGCUAAGACCGAUGUGAAAUCCCCGGGCUCAACCUGGGAACUGCAUUGGUGACUGGCAGGCUAGAGUAUGGCAGAGGGGGGUAGAAUUCCACGUGUAGCAGUGAAAUGCGUAGAGAUGUGGAGGAAUACCGAUGGCGAAGGCAGCCCCCUGGGCCAAUACUGACGCUCAUGCACGAAAGCGUGGGGAGCAAACAGGAUUAGAUACCCUGGUAGUCCACACCCUAAACGAUGUCAACUAGUUGUUGGGGAUUCAUUUCCUUAGUAACGUAGCUAACGCGUGAAGUUGACCGCCUGGGGAGUACGGUCGCAAGAUUAAACUUAAAUGAAUUGACGGGGUCAUAGCUGUUUCCU